AUUGAACGCUGGCGGCAUGCUUUACACAUGCAAGUCGAACGGUAACAGGCCGCAAGGUGCUGACGGGUGGCGAACGGGUGAGUAAUGCAUCGGAACGUGCCCAGUCGUGGGGGAUAACGCAGCGAAAGCUGCGCUAAUACCGCAUACGAUCGAUGGAUGAAAGCGGGGGACCGCAAGACCCCGCGCGAUUGGAGCGGCCGAUAUCAGAUUAGGUAGUUGGUGGGGUAAAGGCCUACCAAGCCUACGAUCUGUAGUUGGUUGGAGAGGACGACCAGCCACACUGGGACUGAGACACGGCCCAGACUCCUACGGGAGGCAGCAGUGGGGAAUUUUGGACAAUGGACGCAAGUCUGAUCCAGCCAUGCCGCGUGCGGGAAGAAGGCCUUCGGGUUGUAAACCGCUUUUGUCAGGGAAGAAAAGGUUCUGGUUAAUACCUGGGACUCAUGACGGUACCUGAAGAAUAAGCACCGGCUAACUACGUGCCAGCCGCCGCAGUAAUAC
rnacentral:rRNA from 1 species